CAAAGUCGGAAGAGUGGCUGUUGUAUGAAACGACUGAAUGACUUGGAGGGAAAUCGCCGUGGAAGCCCACGGAGAAGAAGUUUUAAGGAGUUUGAGGCUUUCUUCUUCCAACAUCUCCAUGGAUCGAUUUAACAUGGGAUGAGCAGAGGAGGGGACGUUGAAACAAAAAGGAUAGGGUGCAUCUGAGGCAGGCUGUUGCUCAUUGGAUCAGGAAUCAGGAUAUAAGGACACAUUACGGUCUCCUUUUGGGUCCUCUUAUACUAGUCAUCUAGGGUGAUACUUGUGUUGGGCUAUGGCAGAGUGUCCUAAGAUAGCUGUUGCUCAAGACGAGCCAGUGAUCACCCCAGAAGAAAGAAGUAAAAGUGACAUUGAACAGCGGCUUGGGUUCUUGGAGGACAAGAUCCUGAGUUGGGAUUCUGAUCAGUCCAUGAUUUGGGAUCGUGAUCCAGAGGAAGCUUCUAAGUAUUUAAAGGCGGUGCAUGAAGUCCAACUGCUCACUGAAAACUUGGGAGGCUUGCAUUUAGACAUUGAAGACAGGGAGCAUGAUGUACUCUUGAGCCGUGCAUAUAGUAUUCUACAGAUGGCAAUGGCAAGGCUGGAAGAGGAGUUUAUUCACCUUCUCAUUCAGUACCAGCAACCUGUGGAGCCUGACCGCAUGUCUUUUCGCUCGAGUGAAGAGGAUUCUGUAGAUGAUUAUUCAUUUAGCUCCUUUGACGAGGAGCAAGUUGAGGGUAGAAUUCAUGGUGAUAGUAGCAGGGGCUCAGAAGAGUUUGUCAUUGAUUUGGUUCACUCUUGUGCAAUCUUUGACCUUAAACGUAUAGCUGAAAUGAUGUUCUUGGCCAACUAUGACAAGGAAUGUUGUCAGGCUUAUAUCAGUCUUAGAAAAGAUGCACUAGAUGAAUGCUUAUCUGUUCUCCGCAUGGAAAAGUUGAGUAUUGAAGAUGUUCUGAAGAUGGAUUGGACUACAUUAAAUUGCAAGAUCAAGAGGUGGAACCGCAUGAUAAAAGUUUUCAUUCGGGUCUAUCUUGUCAGUGAAAGACGGCUCUCCGACCUUAUCUUCGGGGACUUGUCCCAGUCUGUAAGAGACUCUUGUUUUGUUGAGACCUCAAAGAGCUCAAUCCUGCAACUCCUCAACUUUGGUGAAGCUGUAGCAAUUGGAUCUAUGCAGCCAGAAAAGCUAUUCCGGAUACUUGAUAUGUAUGAAAGUUUGGCAGAUCUCAUCAUGGACAUAGAAGCUUUGUUUCCCGAAGAGUAUGGUGCCUGCAUCUUAUUAGAUUGUCACGAGGUGUUGUUGAGAUUGGGUGAAUAUUUGAAGGGUACCUUAAAUGAGUUGAAGAAUGCCAUUCGAACUAACACAUCAAACAUUCCACUUGUUGGAGGUGGAAUACAUCCUCUUACAAAGUAUGUCAUGAACUACAUAAGGGUCCUGGUUGAUUAUAAUGAGAUCCUCAAUACGCUUCUUGAAGAUCAAGAUAGGAAGAACCAGUGCUCACCGUCAGAAGAUGGUGGGAGGAGCUCCUGUCUCAAUUCCUCUCCAAUGAGUGACUACCUCAAGGAUGCAACCUCAAUUCUUGAAUCAAGCCUCGAGACUAAAUCGAUGCUGUACAAAGAGGAUUCCUUGCAGUAUUUUUUUAAGAUGAAUAAUGUUUGCUACAUGGUCUGCAAGGUCAGGGACUCUGAGCUUCGAAUAUUUCUUGGAGAUGACUGGAUCCGUGAGCACAAAAGGAAGUUCCGUCAGCAUGCUAUGAGCUAUGAGAGGGCUUCAUGGAAUCAUGUUCUCUCAUUCUUGAAGGAUGAGGGAAUUUGGAACCCAGGUUCUAGCACUCCUUCAAAGACAACUCUAAAGGAGAGAUUCCAAAAUUUCAACCUUGCAUUUGAAGAGGUAUACAGGGUCCAGACAGCAUGGAUAAUCCCAGAUGUCCAGCUUCGAGAAGAUCUGAGAAUCUCGAUAUCACUCAAGGUGCUACAAGCAUAUCGAACUUUCAUGGGUCGGUAUAGUAGUUACCUAGAUGGUGUGAGACAGCGUGACAAGUACAUCAAGUACUACCCAGAUGAUCUGGAAAGCUGCCUGCUGGAUCUCUUUGAGGGGUCACCAAAGGUUCUGCAUUACCCUCGUAGGAGGUGAAACCAAAGCUGGCAAUGUUUUUCAGGUUGCUAUUUCCCUUUUUCUGUCGCAAAAAAUUUCAUGAGCUAUUCAUGUUUGACAACUAGCAUCAGCAAGUUCUCAUACAUAAUUCGGUGUUUAAUCUUAAAGUUGACAUUUACGGAUGAUUUCUGGGUAAGUAGGCUCCUAUAGGUUGCUUUUUCUGUCAUUUCCAAUGAUACUAUGAUAGUUGGUAUACAUCACUAUAUGUAAACUAUUUCUUUUAAGGUUCUGGAUCUUGGCUCCAGCACACAACAACAUAUGCACUUUGAGAAGCCUUUUCAUUGGGAGUAUUUUGGUGGGAGACUAUGUGAAUACAUGUGAGUAAGCUGAUUUCUGAUGUUUAUGAACUAAUCGAAGGCAAGAAUAUGGUAAAAUAUACCACAGCCUCAUCUUCCUCUUAUGUUUGGUUACGAUCAUUCUAUGGUGCAUUUGUACUUCAGCUAGUUUGUCACUGGUCUUUUUUUUUUUCCCAGUGGGGGUUGAUCGGAAUUGCUCUGCUGGUAUAGUUUUGAAUUGUCCUGAACUUUCGAAAUAAGUGACUAUUUCAUUGGGACAUUUGCAUCUCUUGUAGGAAGACAAAAGAAUCAUAUGUUUGUAUCCUUGUUUUUAAGAAUGCAGAUAGAGGCGAGGAUAUGCUUUCCUCAGUGCUCA